UGGGGAAUUUUUGGACAAUGGGCGAAAGCCUGAUCCAGCAAUGCCGCGUGUGUGAAGAAGGCCUUCGGGUUGUAAAGCACUUUUUGUCCGGAAAGAAAUCCUCGGCUCUAAUACAGUCGGGGGAUGACGGUACCGGAAGAAUAAGCACCGGCUAACUACGUGCCAGCAGCCGCGGUAAUACGUAGGGUGCAAGCGUUAAUCGGAAUUACUGGGCGUAAAGCGUGCGCAGGCGGUUUUGCUAAGACCGAUGUGAAAUCCCCGGGCUCAACCUGGGAACUGCAUUGGUGACUGGCAGGCUAGAGUAUGGCAGAGGGGGGUAGAAUUCCACGUGUAGCAGUGAAAUGCGUAGAGAUGUGGAGGAAUACCGAUGGCGAAGGCAGCCCCCUGGGGCCAAAUACUGACGCUCAUGCACGAAAGCGUGGGGGAGCAAACAGGAUUAGAUACCCUGGUAGUCCACGCCCUAAACGAUGUCAACUAGUUGUUGGGGAUUCAUUUCCUUAGUAACGUAGCUAACGCGUGAAGUUGACCGCCUGGGGAGUACGGUCG
rnacentral:rRNA from 1 species